rnacentral:rRNA from 1 species
GCAGUCGAGCGGUAAGGCCCUUCGGGGUACACGAGCGGCGAACGGGUGAGUAACACGUGGGUGAUCUGCCUCGCACUCUGGGAUAAGCCUGGGAAACUGGGUCUAAUACCGGAUAUGACCACGGAUCGCAUGGUUUGUGGUGGAAAGAUUUAUCGGUGCGAGAUGGGCCCGCGGCCUAUCAGCUUGUUGGUGGGGUAAUGGCCUACCAAGGCGACGACGGGUAGCCGACCUGAGAGGGUGACCGGCCACACUGGGACUGAGACACGGCCCAGACUCCUACGGGAGGCAGCAGUGGGGAAUAUUGCACAAUGGGCGAAAGCCUGAUGCAGCGACGCCGCGUGAGGGAUGACGGCCUUCGGGUUGUAAACCUCUUUCGACAGGGACGAAGCGCAAGUGACGGUACCUGUAGAAGAAGCACCGGCCAACUACGUGCCAGCAGCCGCGGUAAUACGUAGGGUGCGAGCGUUGUCCGGAAUUACUGGGCGUAAAGAGCUUGUAGGCGGUUCGUCGCGUCGAUUGUGAAAACUUGCAGCUCAACUGCAAGCUUGCAGUCGAUACGGGCGGACUAGAGUACUUCAGGGGAGACUGGAAUUCCUGGUGUAGCGGUGAAAUGCGCAGAUAUCAGGAGGAACACCGGUGGCGAAAGCGGGUCUCUGGGAAGUAACUGACGCUGAGAAGCGAAAGCGUGGGUAGCGAACAGGAUUAGAUACCCUGGUAGUCCACGCCGUAAACGGUGGGUACUAGGUGUGGGUUUCCUUCCACGGGAUCCGUGCCGUAGCUAACGCAUUAAGUACCCCGCCUGGGGAGUACGGCCGCAAGGCUAAAACUCAAAGGAAUUUACGGGGGCCCGCACAAGCGGCGGAGCAUGUGGAUUAAUUCGAUGCAACGCGAAGAACCUUACCUGGGUUUGACAUACACCAGAAAGCCGUAGAGAUACGGCCCCCCUUGUGGUUGGUGUACAGGUGGUGCAUGGCUGUCGUCAGCUCGUGUCGUGAGAUGUUGGGUUAAGUCCCGCAACGAGCGCAACCCUUAUCUUAUGUUGCCAGCGCGUAAUGGCGGGGACUCGUGAGAGACUGCCGGGGUCAACUCGGAGGAAGGUGGGGACGACGUCAAGUCAUCAUGCCCCUUAUGUCCAGGGCUUCACACAUGCUACAAUGGCCGGUACAGAGGGCUGCGAUACCGUGAGGUGGAGCGAAUCCCUUAAAGCCGGUCUCAGUUCGGAUCGGGGUCUGCAACUCGACCCCGUGAAGUUGGAGUCGCUAGUAAUCGCAGAUCAGCAACGCUGCGGUGAAUACGUUCCCGGGCCUUGUACACACCGCCCGUCACGUCAUGAAAGUCGGUAACACCCGAAGCCGGUGGCCUAACCC